rnacentral:rRNA from 1 species
AUGCAGAGUCCGGGGCUCCUCCUCUAUUUUUUUAAAAAAAAUAUACAGACUCUGCAUGGUGUAGUGGCCGGUGAUGAAAAUUGGGUCAAAGGGAACUCUUUACUGGACAAGAUGACCAAACUGCAGUCACUGGAGCUGCACGUACUCAAUGCUGCUAAACACGGGCCUGCACUGGAGAGUGCUAUCAGUAAAAUGGAUCUCCUUGGGCACGUGAAGUUGAAAGGUGAUGCUAUCCCGGCAUGCUUGUUUACUGAGCCGAAUCUGCGGUGCCUGUAGACUAUUGAGAUAGAGGGCACCAUGGAAUGGGAUAAGGUCACUUGGGAUGCAUGUCAUUCGCAAGGACCGCCCGAACCUUGUUGA